GACGAACGCUGGCGGCGUGCCUAAUACAUGCAAGUAGAACGCACAGUUUAUACCCUAGCUUGCUACACCAUAGACUGUGAGUUGCGAACGGGUGAGUAACGCGUAGGUAACCUGCCUGGUAGCGGGGGAUAACUAUUGGAAACGAUAGCUAAUACCGCAUAAUAUUGAUUAUUGCAUGAUAAUUGAUUGAAAGAUGCUAUUGCAUCACUACCAGAUGGACCUGCGUUGUAUUAGCUAGUAGGUGAGGUAACGGCUCACCUAGGCGACGAUACAUAGCCGACCUGAGAGGGUGAUCGGCCACACUGGGACUGAGACACGGCCCAGACUCCUACGGGAGGCAGCAGUAGGGAAUCUUCGGCAAUGGACGAAAGUCUGACCGAGCAACGCCGCGUGAGUGAAGAAGGUUUUCGGAUCGUAAAGCUCUGUUGUAAGAGAAGAACGGGUGUGAGAGUGGAAAGUUCACACUGUGACGGUAUCUUACCAGAAAGGGACGGCUAACUACGUG
rnacentral:rRNA from 1 species